UUGGGAAUAGUAAGCAGCCAUGAACGCAAGACAAACCUCUCUCCUCGGAGCCAUUGUCGUCCUCUUCCUCCUUAACUGCCUCUCCAUCUGCCUCUACUUCUACCCCUUAACGGAGAACCGCUCCCCGUUGACGGAACCCACCUCCCACUUAACGGAGCGCCGCUCUAACUUGGCGGGAGACCGGCAUCAUCCCGCCAGACCCCGCCGGCUCAAGCGCUGGCCCUCCCUGCCGUCCUACCUCCCAUGGACGCAGCAGCCCAGGCCCCCCGUCAAUUCAUGCGAGGCCUACUUCGGCAAUGGCUUCACCCGCCGCGUCGACCUCCUCCCUUCCUCCCCCGGCGGCGGCGGCGGGGGAUGGUUCCGGUGCUUUUACAGCGAGACACUGAGGAGCUCAGUGUGCGAGGGAGGUCGCCUGAGGAUGGUGCCCGAGAGGAUCAGGGCCUCGAGGGGAGGCGAGAGGCUGGAGGAGGUGGUCGGGAGGGAAGAGGAUGAGGAGCUGCCGGAGUUCGAGGACGGUGCGUUCGAGGUGGAGGCUGGCGCGGUGGAUCUGGGAUUGCGGUAUCGGUAUGGGAGAGGCGGGAAGCUCCUGAAAGGUGAUCUCUUGGACAUGUACGUGCCCAAGGGAGAUGUGGACAGGCAUCGAAUGGGGGAGCUGCUCGGGUCGAUUCGAGUGGUCGAAGCCGGAGAUUUCCACUGCGAUCAGACACAGCUAGAAGAAACAUGGGAUGCUUUGUUUUCAAGCCUUAGACAUGCCAAAAACUUUAGUGGCUCAGUUUGCUUUCGCCAUGCCAUUUUUUCUCCUCUGGGAUAUGAGACUCCUCUAUUCAAGGGGCUUUCUGAGGAAAUUGAUUGCCAUGGAGCACCGGCUCAUGACUUGCAGCGGAACGCAGAUGACCAGAAAACUGCUCGGCUUCAUGAGUUUGGAGAGAUGAUCAAAUCAUCUUUUGGUUUGUCGACUUCCGAGCACCAUAAUAUGAUUUCAGCGUCAGGUUAUAAUGUCCUCUUUGUUCGGCGUGAAGACUAUUUGGCUCAUCCUCGCCACCGUGGAAAAGUUGAAUCGAGGCUAAGCAAUGAACAAGAGGUUUUUGAAUCUGUACGGAUUUGGGCAUCAAACCAUCUAGAUUGCAAAAUAAAUGUUAUCAAUGGAUUAUUUGCACAUAUGCCCAUGAAAGAGCAGGUGGAAGCCAUUCGAGAUGCAUCAGUCAUUAUCGGUGCACACGGUGCAGGUCUCACUCACACAGUGUCUGCACUUCCUAAGACAGUGAUUCUCGAGAUCAUCAGCGAGAAAUUUCGGCGUCCUCACUUUGAGCUAAUUGCCCAGUGGAAGGGACUGGAAUACCACGCCAUCAACCUCCGUGGAUCAUAUGCUGCUCCUUCAGUAGUCAUUAAGAAGCUCGGGAACAUCAUGAGAAGUCUUAAUUGUUGACAUAUGAUGGAUCGCUAAACUAGAUGUCUCCAGGAGAGGGAAGAUUUGUGGAGCUUCAUCGGCUCCGAAUGGGGAUUCCUUCCUUGACAGUGUUCUUUGCCUUCUUGGUCGUCCACUGUUGCUUCACUCUCUGUCAUCCAUUGACAUUAACAUUUCGCGAUUUGCCGGGACAGCUUACCUCACGUGGAACUUGGAAAAUGUCAAAUCCGAUGCAUGUUUCCAUCAUUAUUUCUGAAUGCAUCGACAUGCUGAACCCCGAGUUGCUUCAAUAGUUUCACGGUUUUUCCACGAGAAGUGAUGAGAGGUACCAUUUUCGGGCUGAUGAAGCCCGGCCUUGUCAUCUGCGCUUAACAACUUCACAUAUCAAGGCUUUGCAGAAGUAUUGGUGGCUUCUCGCUUGUAACACCUUUUAUUUUAUUUUUUGAAAUAAAAAUGAUGAAUAGGCGUUUGCUCAAAUGUAUAUAGAUUUGAAUCAUCGAUUGGUUUUAUAGCAAUGCCAUGUCCUCGAUUUUGUUUCCUCCAGCCUCUAUCGGGAUCCUGUUUAGGAAUUGCGAUCGUAUGCCUUAUGACUAUUGCACUUUCUAAUGGAGAAAAUGAGUCGGUAUUCCGCGUCAUUCACUUCUUUUAUGUCACAUAGAUCACGGAUUUGUGUUGCACUUGUUAAGUUGCAUCGGCGGAUUUCGAUGCAGUCCAUGCCAACACUGCGAUUACACUUCAAUAUCAAUCUUAUUUCAAAAAUAACUUUGAUUUAUUUGUGUACUUAUUUUUUAGUUAUUGUCAGUGGUUGGUUUGUAUAAAACUGAAAGGGAAAAAUUACGUGAAUAUCAUAGCAAGCGAGGAGGGAGGACUGUGUAUAGAAGAGAAACUGAGCCCGGCACCGGCGUAUGGUUCUUUGCCGGCCAGUGAGCUGAUCAGGGCUGAGCGUGACGGCGGAGAGAGACUUACGCCUCACCUUGUCAACUCAGACCCACCAAAAUCUCAUCCUCCAUUGACUCACUUUCGGCAAACAAGUCCCACUGUAUCACCAAUCUUCAUCAUUGUCUUCCUUUUGCGGUGCGGGAGAUGACACUCUGCUACCCUUCGACACCAAAGAAGCUCGCAAUGACUGUUGGAUUCUUCUUUGCUGGGGCUGGACUUUUCGGUUACGGCCUUCAUCUUUGGUACGUCAAUGCAGCUCCGCAGCGAGCGCGAAUACAGGCUCGCAGUGAAUUCGUCAAAGAAAAGUUGAGGAGGAAGUAUGGGGAUGGCCGAAGGUAGGAACUUUCCCAUGCGUAGGAUCACCUUCCUUUGCUCAAAUCCAGGGGAAGAGGAAACCUUAGCCGUGACAUUUCAGCGGUUUCCAUUUCUCGAGUUGCACACAUAUGGGAUUUCUCCGGAUGAAGGAAAAGUUGGAAUUCGAAUCCUUUGCAGUUUGCACCAUAUGCUGAGUUUUAUGGACUGGCUAAAGCUGAAAUCGGUAAUGCCUAUCAUGUAACGUUUUUUAGCUUCUUUAGGUCAUUAUGAAUCUGUCUCUUGAUCGAGAAGCAUGAGCUAGCUAAUCUGAGGGAUGAUGCUGCAUGAAUUUGAUGCUUUGAGCAAUGAAAUAACCAAAGUUCGGUUUAGCUCCA